CCCUUAGAUGUUCUGGGCCGCACACGCGCUACACUGAAGGAGGCAGCGUGUACUCCUGGAUCGAAAGAUUUGGGUAACCCGCGAAUCUCCUUCGUGCUAGGGAUUGAGGUUUGCAAUUAUCCUUCAUGAACGAGGAAUUCCUAGUAAGCGCGAGUCAUAAGCUUGCGCUGACUACAUCCCUGCCCUUUGUACACACCGCCCGUCGCUACUACCGAUUGAAUGAUUUAGUGAGGACUUCGGACUGGGACCGAUGCGGCUUUCGGGCUGCGUCGGUAUUCUGGAAAGAUGUCCAAACUGUAUCAUUUAGAGGAAGUAAAAGUCGUANCA
rnacentral:rRNA from 1 species